rnacentral:lncRNA from 1 species
GCCAGGGCCUGGUCGAGACAACUAUUUUUGAGGUAUCUGAGGCUACCCCACAGCACUCUCUGGCAUUGGCAAGACUCGUGGCUGUGACCCAUGGGCCUCUGAGGAGGCGUUGUAAGUCCGCCCAGCUCCCCACUUGCUGUGCUCUCACUCAAUGCGAAGGGAACCAAGGUACCAGGGCCAAGUGGGUCCAGACAUCCACACGGAUUCUGAAAGGGCAGGUCAAGCAGACUUUGUCCAGCCAUCAGCCACGGCCUCUCGACAGCACCAAGAUGGAAGUCAAAGGUCAGCUGAUCAGCUCUCCUACCUUCAAUGCCCCAGCUGCCCUGUUCGGAGAGGCUGCCCCCCAGGUGAAGUCAGAGCGUCUGCGGGGGCUGCUUGACCGGCAGCGGACCCUGCAGGAGGCCCUGAGCCUGAAACUUCAGGAGCUCCGCAAAGUGUGUCUCCAGGAG